rnacentral:rRNA from 1 species
AUCAGGGGUAAACCUGUGGAACUCGAACGAACGAACGGGGAGAUUCACCGUAUUUCCGUAAAAAUUACAGGGUCCGCGAUGCGAUUCGUUUACCGCGGUCGUUGCGUUUCUCUAAACCGGAAGCGUUUACGGUCGUGGCGGUCGCGUCGUAGCGUACGGCCCGCGGAGUGCGUGCACUUCUCCCUCAGUAAAACACCGCGACCCGUUCGGAUAUAUAGAUACGAUCGAACGCACCGUGCGGUUGUCCCGUUUCGAACUUAAAAAAUUCGGGGCGGAGCCGCGGUGUCGCGAUCGUCUUCAGACGGUAAAAUACAAGGUUCACGUUCGCCGGUGUACGUAUUGUGAAAAUAAUAUAUUACACAAGGCGUCCGUGUCGUGAACCGGACGAACCUCGUUCGGACCUCGACGUUUACGCGUCGUGGGCUCCGCGCGCAAUUUAAAGUCUGUUCGUUCGCGUAUCGCGACGUCUCGGACGGAACGUGUCCCGGUCGGCGGUGGUUUUGUUUCGGGCACUCACAGGACCC